CCCAGCUCCAACCAAGUUCUGUGUGUGCUACUGAGUCUUGGCUUUUAGAGAAAAGCAAUAGAAGAAGACACAACGAUAAAUUGAGACAAACAAAGGAAGGAGUGAGGCAGCUCUUCGGCUACAGACCAGAAAAAGACAACUUUGUUUUGCUGCAGCUUGAGGCAUUCCAAACAAGUCAGUUUCACUUGACUUCACAAUAAAAACAGAACGGGUAUAGUAUUUACAAGAUAGAACAACCAACCAAAGAGCAC
rnacentral:lncRNA from 1 species